rfam:Stegodyphus mimosarum contig102826, whole genome shotgun sequence.
GCCGUGAUCGUUAGUACAUUGCGUUGUGGCCGCAAUAACCCAGGUUCGAAUCCUAGUCACGGCA